AGGAUUAACGCUGGCGGCGUGCCUGACACAUGCAAGUCGAACGAGGCCGCAAGGCCGAGUGGCGGACGGGUGAGUAACACGUGACCAACCAACCUCGAAGUUGGGAAUAGCUCUGCGAAAGUAGGGGUAAUACCGAAUGUGGCCCAGGGCGGGCAUCCGCCUUGGUCUAAAGAUUCAUCGCUUCGAGACGGGGUCGCGGCCUAUUAGCUUGUUGGUGAGGUAACGGCUCACCAAGGCGAUGAUGGGUAGCUGGUCUGAGAGGACGACCAGCCACACUGGGACUGAGACACGGCCCAGACUCCUACGGAGGCAGCAGUGAGGAAUCUUCCGCAAUGGGCGAAAAGCCUGACGGAGCAACGCCGCGUGUGGGAUGAAGACUCUAGGGUUGUAAACCACUGUCGGAGGGGACGAUCGUGACGGUACCCUCCGAAGAAAGCCCCGGCUAACUACGCGCCAGCAGCCGC
rnacentral:rRNA from 1 species